rnacentral:rRNA from 1 species
GAUGAACGCUGGCGGCGUGCCUAAUACAUGCAAGUCGAGCGAACAGACGAGGAGCUUGCUCCUCUGACGUUAGCGGCGGACGGGUGAGUAACACGUGGAUAACCUACCUAUAAGACUGGGAUAACUUCGGGAAACCGGAGCUAAUACCGGAUAAUAUAUUGAACCGCAUGGUUCAAUAGUGAAAGACGGUUUUUUGUUCACUUAUAGAUGGAUCCGCCCCGCAUUAGUUAGUUGUUAAGGUAACGGCUUACCAAGGCAACGAUGCGUAGCCGACCUGAGAGGGUGAUCGGCCACACUGGAACUGAGACACGGUCCAGACUCCUACGGGAGGAAGCAGUAGGGAAUCUUCCGCAAUGGGCGAAAGCCUGACGGAGCAACGCCGCGUGAGUGAUGAAGGUCUUCGGAUCGUAAAACUCUGUUAGUAGGAAAGAACAAAUGUGUAAGUAACUAUGCACGUAUUGACGGUACCUAAUCAGAAAGCCACGGCUAACUACGUG